AUCCAGCUGACGAGUCCCACACAGGACGAAACGCGCAUCCUGGAU
rnacentral:hammerhead_ribozyme from 1 species